rnacentral:rRNA from 1 species
AACGAACGCUGGCGGCAUGCCUAACACAUGCAAGUCGAACGAUCCCUUCGGGGAUAGUGGCGCACGGGUGCGUAACGCGUGGGAACCUGCCCUUAGGUUCGGAAUAACUCAGAGAAAUUUGAGCUAAUACCGGAUAAUGUCUUCGGACCAAAGAUUUAUCGCCUUUGGAUGGGCCCGCGUUGGAUUAGCUAGUUGGUGGGGUAAAGGCCUACCAAGGCGACGAUCCAUAGCUGGUCUGAGAGGAUGAUCAGCCACACUGGGACUGAGACACGGCCCAGACUCCUGCGGGAGGCAGCAGUGGGGAAUAUUGGAAAAUGGGCGAAAGCAUGAUCCAGCAAUGCCGCGUGAGUGAUGAAGGCCUUAGGGUUGUAAAGCUCUUUUACCCGGGAUGAUAAUGACAGUACCGGGAGAAUAAGCCCCGGCUAACUCCGUG